GAUGAACGCUAGCGGCAGGCUUAACACAUGCAAGUCGAGGGGUAUAGUUCUCCGGAGCUAGAGACCGGCGCACGGGUGCGUAACGCGUAUGCAAUCUACCUUUUGCAGAGGGAUAGCCCAGAGAAAUUUGGAUUAAUACCUCAUGGUAUGUGAGAAUGGCAUCAUUUUCACAUUAAAGUCACAACGGCAAAAGAUGGGCAUGCGUCCCAUUAGCUAGUUGGUAAGGUAACGGCUUACCAAGGCAACGAUGGGUAGGGGUCCUGAGAGGGAGAUCCCGCACACUGGUACUGAGACACGGACCAGACUCCUACGGGAGGCAGCAGUGAGGAAUAUUGGACAAUGGGCGCAAGCCUGAUCCAGCCAUGCCGCGUGCAGGAUGACGGUCCUAUGGAUUGUAAACUGCUUUUGUACAGGAAGAAACACUGGUUCGUGAACCAGCUUGACGGUACUGUAAGAAUAAGGAUCGGCUAACUCCGUGCCAGCCGCCGCAGUAAGAC
rnacentral:rRNA from 1 species